AGCUGCGGCAGCGACGCUUAUGCGUUGUUGGGUAGGGGAGCGUUCUGUAAGCCGUUGAAGGUGUGCUGUGAGGCAUGCUGGAGGUAUCAGAAGUGCGAAUGCUGACAUAAGUAACGAUAAAGCGGGUGAAAAGCCCGCUCGCCGGAAGACCAAGGGUUCCUGUCCAACGUUAAUCGGGGCAGGGUGAGUCGACCCCUAAGGCGAGGCCGAAAGGCGUAGUCGAUGGGAAACAGGUUAAUAUUCCUGUACUUGGUGUUACUGCGAAGGGGGGACGGAGAAGGCUAUGUCAGCCGGGCGACGGUUGUCCCGGUUUAAGCGUGUAGGUGUGUGUUCCAGGCAAAUCCGGUUCACUUUAACACUGAGGCGUGAUGACGAGGCACUACGGUGCUGAAGUGAUAAAUGCCCUGCUUCCAGGAAAAGCCUCUAAGCAUCAGGUAACACGAAAUCGUACCCCAAACCGACACAGGUGGUCAGGUAGAGAAUACCAAGGCGCUUGAGAGAACUCGGGUGAAGGAACUAGGCAAAAUGGUGCCGUAACUUCGGGAGAAGGCACGCUGAUAUGUAGGUGAAGCCCCUGCGGGCGGAGCUGAAAUCAGUCGAAGAUACCAGCUGGCUGCAACUGUUUAUUAAAAACACAGCACUGUGCAAACACGAAAGUGGACGUAUACGGUGUGACGCCUGCCCGGUGCCGGAAGGUUAAUUGAUGGGGUUAGCGGCAACGCGAAGCUCUUGAUCGAAGCCCCGGUAAACGGCGGCCGUAACUAUAACGGUCCUAAGGUAGCGAAAUUCCUUGUCGGGUAAGUUCCGACCUGCACGAAUGGCGUAAUGAUGGCCAGGCUGUCUCCACCCGAGACUCAGUGAAAUUGAACUCGCUGUGAAGAUGCAGUGUACCCGCGGCAAGACGGAAAGACCCCGUGAACCUUUACUAUAGCUUGACACUGAACACUGGUCCUUGAUGUGUAGGAUAGGUGGGAGGCUUUGAAGCGUGGACGCCAGUCUGCGUGGAGCCGUCCUUGAAAUACCACCCUUUAAUGGCUGGUGUUCUAACGURGACCCGURAUCCGGGUUGCGGACAGUGUCUGGUGGGUAGUUUGACUGGGGCGGUCUCCUCCCAAAGAGUAACGGAGGAGCACGAAGGUUAGCUAAUCCUGGUCGGACAUCAGGAGGUUAGUGCAAUGGCAUAAGCUAGCUUGACUGCGAGAGUGACGGCUCGAGCAGGUGCGAAAGCAGGUCAUAGUGAUCCGGUGGUUCUGAAUGGAAGGGCCAUCGCUCAACGGAUAAAAGGUACUCCGGGGAUAACAGGCUGAUACCGCCCAAGAGUUCAUAUCGACGGCGGUGUUUGGCACCUCGAUGUCGGCUCAUCACAUCCUGGGGCUGAAGUAGGUCCCAAGGGUAUGGCUGUUCGCCAUUUAAAGUGGUACGCGAGCUGGGUUUAGAACGUCGUGAGACAGUUCGGUCCCUAUCUGCCGUGGGCGCUGGAGAAUUGAGGGGGGCUGCUCCUAGUACGAGAGGACCGGAGUGGACGCAUCACUGGUGUUCGGGUUGUCAUGCCAAUGGCACUGCCCGGUAGCUAAAUGCGGAA
rnacentral:rRNA from 1 species